UAUUAUUGUAUUUAAGAAAGGUGAAUUCAAGUCUGGAUUUCAAUGUUAAGGUUGUCAGUUGUUGCUUCCAAAAUCCACCCAGUUGAUGCAACAGGCUCGUGUACCAGUGCAAGGAUGUAACUCGUCGGUUCAGAGGUCUAUUCUCUACUCUAUGGUGUGGUUUUUAUGGAAGGCGCGGAACAAUUAUAUUUUUCGGAACCAAAGAUCAUCCAUUGAAUGGCUAAUCGAAGACUGCUAUGCUCAGCUCGUCGCUUGGAUUUCGAACACGUCUAAGCACACUUCUAUCUGCUGGCGGAAAUGGUGUCGGUCCCCUGUGUCAUGUUUUUCUUAAGUGUUUGCUUUGUAGCUUGUUUUGGGUCGUUUGUGCUUUUUUCAUUUGCCGUUAAAAUUGACGGGUUUUAUACUUAA